rnacentral:rRNA from 1 species
CCUGCCGGCGACCGGCGCACGGGUGAGUAACACGUAUGCGACCUGCCCCCGCAGGGGAUAACCGGGAGAAAUCCCGACUAAUACCGCGUAACGCCGCGGACCUGCAUGGGUCUGCGGCCAAAGGAAGCGAUUCCGGCGGGGGAUGGGCAUGCGGCGCAUUAGCUAGUCGGCGGGGUAACGGCCCACCGAGGCGACGAUGCGUAGGGGUUCUGAGAGGAAGGUCCCCCACACUGGUACUGAGACACGGACCAGACUCCUACGGGAGGCAGCAG